rnacentral:lncRNA from 1 species
AUUAUCUAGAUGAAACUAGUGACAUUUAAAUGCAGAGAUCUUCAGAAUGAGCAAAUGCCAUCUUCACAAAGGCCUCAUAGAUAAAUUCAGAUAAAAUUGGGAUUUUCACUUACCAAACUUCCAUACAAGCUUCAGGACUUGGCAGUAGCACAUUCACCAGUUUGGAAAGUACAGACCAAAAGUGACACUAGACCUACAGAGGAAAGACGGAGGAACCGCUGAAGCAGAAGGAACUAAAUCAGCAGAGCUGACAGCAAGAUGUGAUGGGGUGCUAGAUACAGUACUGAUUCCUUCAGAAAUAACUUACAGAUUUGUAACGGAUCUUCACCAGAGAAAGAUAAAGUCAGUGCUCUGCCCACCUAAUAACUCACAACAGACUAUUUUUCCCUCAACACCAGUUCUCCAGCUGUCACUGAAAACCCAGGCUUUGUUUCCUACAGCUUCAGCUGCAUCUGUUGCCUUGACAGGGAAAAAAUUUUGCUCCUGAAAAGUGCCAAG